ACGCCUACGGGGGGCAGCAGUGGGGAAUAUUGCACAAUGGGGGAAACCCUGAUGCAGCAACGCCGCGUGAGUGAAGAAGUAUUUCGGUAUGUAAAGCUCUAUCAGCAGGGAAGAAGAUGACGGUACCUGAGUAAGAAGCCCCGGCUAACUACGUGCCAGCAGCCGCGGUAAUACGUAGGGGGCAAGCGUUAUCCGGAUUUACUGGGUGUAAAGGGAGCGUAGACGGUGAGAUAAGUCUGAAGUGAAAGCCCGGGGCUUAACCCCGGGACUGCUCUGGAAACUGUAUGGCUGGAGUGCAGGAGAGG
rnacentral:rRNA from 1 species